rnacentral:rRNA from 1 species
UACGGAGGGUGCAAGCGUUAUCCGGAUUCACUGGGUUUAAAGGGUGCGUAGGUGGUCUGUUAAGUCAGCGGUGAAAGCCUGGAGCUCAAUUCCAGAAUUGCCAUUGAUACUGACGGACUUGAAUCAAGUUGAGGUGGAUGGAAUAUUACAUGUAGCGGUGAAAUGCUUAGAUAUGUAAUAGAACACCAAUUGCGAAGGCAGUUCACUAAGCUUGUAUUGACACUGAGGCACGAAAGCGUGGGGAUCAAACAGG